UAAAGGUAAGAAGGGCACACGGUGGAUGCCUUGGUGCUGACAGCCGAUGAAGGACGCAGCAAGCUGCGAAAAGCCUCGGGGAGACGCAAGCGGUCAUUGAUCCGGGGGUAUCCGAAUGGGGCAACCCGCCUGGAGGAAUUCAGGCACUCCUGUAAGGGAGGGGAACCGGGUGAAGUGAAACAUCUCAGUAGCCCGAGGAGAAGAAAUCGAAGAGAUUCCCUGAGUAGUGGUGAGCGAAAGGGGAUUAGCCUAAACCUGCUGGAUGUAAGGCUGCGGUCGUUGUUCAGCGGGGGUUGUGGGUCAUAUUUUGCGCAGGCCGCAGUCUGUGCGGGGAGUCAGAAACGUACAUUUUAGCCGAACCGUAUUGGGAAAGCGGGCCGUAGUGGGUGACAGCCCCGUAGGCGAAAGGGUGUGCGCUCCCUUAGUAUGAACCCGAGUAUGCCGGAGCACGAGGAAUUCCGGUUGAAUCAGGGCCGACCAUGGUCCAAGGCUAAAUACUGUCAGCGACCGAUAGUGAACCAGUACCGAGAGGGAAAGGUGAAAAGCACCCCUGGCGGGGAGUGAAAGAGACCUGAACCCGUGUGCCUACAAGCAAUCGGAGCAGGAAGUGUCCGUGAGGGCAUGGAAUGUGACGGUGUGCCUUUUGUAAAAUGAGCCGGCGAGUCAUUGGUAGUAGCGAGGUUAAGGUCCGACUGGACUGGAGCCGCAGGGAAACCGAGUCUUAACAGGGCGUGAGUUUCUAUCAAUGGACCCGAAGCCGUACGAUCUAUCCAUGGGCAGGUUGAAGCCUCGGUAAAACGGGGUGGAGGACCGAACCGGUGCCUGUUGAAAAAGUCUCGGAUGACCUGUGGAUAGGAGUGAAAAGCUAAUCGAGUGCGGUGAUAGCUGGUUCUCCCCGAUAUGCAUUUAGGUGCAGCCUUAUGGAUGACACGUGGGGGUAGAGCACUGGAUGGACGCGGGGGACUGGGGUCCUACCAAAUUCAACCAAACUUCGAAUACCACGAUGUUGGACCAUGGGAGUGAGACUACGGGAGAGAAGUUUCGUGGUCGUGAGGGAAAGAGCCCAGACCGUCAGCUAAGGCCCCUAAGGGCAUGCUAAGUGUGGCAAGGAUGUGGAAAUGCCCAGACAGCCAGGAGGUUGGCUCAGAAGCAGCCAUCCUUUAAAGAGUGCGUAAUAGCUCACUGGUCGAGGAUUUCCGCGCCGAAAAUACAGGGGGCUAAGCAUGCUGCCGAAGCUGCGGGAUUCAUGUGAAUGCAUGGAUCGGUAGGGGAGCGUUCUAUACGGGGUGAAGUCGUGCCGCGAGGCGCGGUGGACUGUAUGGAAGUGAGAAUGUCGGCAUGAGUAGCGCAAAGUGUGUGAGAAACACACUCACCGGAAGCCCAAGGGUUCCUGGGGAAGGUUAAUCCACCCAGGGUAAGGCGGGACCUAAGGCGAGGCUGAAGAGCGUAGUCGAUGGACAACAGGUUGAUAUUCCUGUUCCGCAUGUGCAUCGUUUGACUGAUGUGGUGACGCAGGAAGCUAGGUGAUCCCGGGUGAUGGAUGUCCCGGGCCAAGGGAGUAGGCAUGUUUCGGAGGCAAAUCCCCGGAGCUGAGCCGAGACCUGAUGGGGAGUUUCCGUAAGGGAGACGAAGUCAUUGACGCUCUACUGCCGAGAAAAGCCACUAGGGAGAUGUGCGAGCGCCCGUACCCGAGACCGACACAGGUGGGCUGGCUUAACAGGCUAAGGUGAGCGGGAUAACUCUCGUUAAGGAACUCUGCAAGUUGACCCCGUAACUUCGGGAUAAGGGGUGCCGCUCUGGUGAAGACAAUGCUGUUGGAGCUGAGGGCGGUCGCAGAAACCAGGCUCAGGCGACUGUUUACUAAAAACACAUGUCUCUGCAUAAGGCGUAAGCCGAAGUAUAGGGACUGACACCUGCCCGGUGCUGAAAUUCCUUGUCGGGUAAGUUCCGACCUGCACGAAUGGUGUAACGAUCUGAGCGCUGUCUCAACGGGAGCCCCGGUGAAAUUGUGGUCCUGGUAAAGACGCCAGGUACCUGUGGUGGGACGGAAAGACCCCAUGGAGCUUUACUGUAUCCUGGUACUGGAUUUUGUCCUGUCAUGCACAGGAUAGGUGGGAGGCGUUUGAAGGGAGUGUUUCGGCAUUCCUGGAGCCGUUGUUGGGAUACCACCCUUGACAUGAUGGAAUUCUAACCGCAAGCACUGAAUCGUGCUGUGGGACACUGCCAGGUGGGCAGUUUGACUGGGGCGGUCGCCUCCUAAAGGAUAACGGAGGCGCGCGAAGGUCACCUCAGGGCGUAUGGAAAUCGCCCGCAGAGAGCGUAAGCGUAUAAGGUGGCUUGACUGAGAGACCGACGGGUCGAUCAGGUAGGAAACUAGGUGCUAGUGAUCCGGCGGUUCCGAAUGGAAGGGCCGUCGCUCAACGGAUAAAAGCUACCCUGGGGAUAACAGGCUGAUCUUGCCCGAGAGUUCCCAUCGACGGCAAGGUUUGGCACCUCGAUGUCGGCUCGUCGCAUCCUGGGGCUGAA
rnacentral:rRNA from 1 species